rnacentral:lncRNA from 1 species
AUGCCGGAUAAGGCGAUAAGGAAAAAGAGAGGGGUAAAAAAGGUAAAGCUGCAGGAGAAACCUCGCUUUCAUGGAUGCUCCAGUUACCGAAGAUCUGGAAGAGCUCUGAUUCCCAGUUUGUUAAUAAAUAGAAGAUACCCACGGGUUACUUCCUUUAUACACAGGAACAGAACGAGACCAUUCAACAUCCGAAGGACUCUACCGCUGGAACGACCAAUGCCUGAUUCAUUGCUCGCUCACAACCCCGGUUUGCACUCCGAUAGAAAAAAGGAAGGGAGUUAA